rnacentral:miRNA from 2 species
UGCCAAAGGGGAUUUGCCCGG